AAUUCUCAAUCUCUACGACUUUGUGUUGUCUAGAUUGGAUGUGGGGGCUCUUUGUGUGGAAUACAAUUCCUCACUCCCCUUAAAUGAAUUAGCUGGAAUGCCUCUGCAUAUCUGACUAUCAGUGUGAUAAUUAUCUAUACUGUAGUUGUUGCAUGAGGGUAUCUGCUUCAUAAAUCGUCGCAAGACAAUUCUUUAUGACCA
rnacentral:misc_RNA from 1 species